rnacentral:rRNA from 1 species
CCUACGGGACGCAGCAGUGAGGAAUAUUGGUCAAUGGGCGAGAGCCUGAACCAGCCAAGUCGCGUGAGGGAAGACGGCCCUACGGGUUGUAAACCUCUUUUGUCAGGGAGCAAGAACGGAUACGUGUAUCCGAGCGAGAGUACCUGAAGAAAAAGCAUCGGCUAACUCCGUGCCAGCAGCCGCGGUAAUACGGAGGGUGCGAGCGUUAAUCGGAAUUACUGGGCGUAAAGCGCUCGUAGGCGGUAUGUCAAGUCAAGGGUGAAAUCCCCGCGCUCAACGUGGGAACUGCCUUUGAAACUGGCAAA